rnacentral:misc_RNA from 1 species
GAUGAAGAACGUAGCGAAAUGCGAUAAGUAAUGUGAAUUGCAGAAUUCAGUGAAUCAUCGAAUCUUUGAACGCACCUUGCGCCCUUUGGCUAUUCCGAAGGGCAUGCCUGUUUGAGUAUCGUGAACACCUCAACUCUCAUGGUUUGCCAUGAUGAGCUUGGACUUUGGGGGUUUUGCUGGCCUUUGGUCGGCUCCUCUCAAACGGAUCAGCUUUCCAGUGUUUGGUGGCGUCACGGGUGUGAUAACUUUCUACGCCUGUGGUUUUCUGCCAGAUAACCUUCAGCGAUGGAGGUUCGCUGGGGCUCAUAAAUGUCUCUCUUCAGUGGAGACAGCUUUUUGGACGUUUGAUCUCAAAUCAGGUAGGACUACCCGCUGAACUUAAGCAUAUCAAUAAGCGGAGGA